AUAAAUAGUAGCCUCCUGUCUCAUUCAAAAUGGAGUCCAACAGUUAGUUGUAAUCUCUGCUGUUCCUCCUAGUUCCAGAGAAAACUUGGCCAAAAGUAUCACCAUAAGGUCAACUGCAGCAACAGGAGUCCGGAAGUGGACCUGAGAUGGGGUCGUCCUUGAAGGAAUAGGACUAGCCAGACAAGCUGCGCACCUGACAACUUCUGAGAACCAGGAGAGGGCUGCCUCAAGAUUAUCUCUCAGUAAGCGACCCAGAGCAUGAGCCCCGGAGCUGGCAAAUGUGAGAACGGAUGAAGAGUUCCUUGCCAAUUUCAGGUUGACCUAAAUAGGGUCCUUGAAUAGCAAGCAUUGGUUACUGACUAUGGUGCUGUUAGCAAUCUCCUUCUGGAUAAUAAACACAUUCCCUGAGAAGGAAAAGGGAUCAUAAGAAUUGGUAUGUUAGAUCCGACCAGAGGUCCGUUACUUCAGUUUUAUGUCUCUGACAAUAGCUAUUAUCAGAUGCUUCAGAUGCAGGUACUAGAAACCCCAUGGUGGACAUUGUUUGCCCUUAUCAUUUAAUGGUUGGUUUUUACCUUGUAGCAUGAGAAUUUAUCCCACUCAUUUUUCAAAGAAAGGCGAAUCUGUGAAAUAUCUGUGGCCCCUUCUGUCCCACCAAUAGAUUUUCAUUUUCAAGACUGUCUGCCCAGCCCCACGCCCCAGAAAAGUAUCUGUAAACUUACUCCAUGAGUUGUCUCAUUGAAGUAAAAACUUUACUCAUAUGUUCCCCCAAAAGAUGUUAUGACUUCCAAAGACAAAAAUAUCUCCUAUUUCAAACUCCAGUUUAUCCCCUUUUCUGAAAAACCUCCAGCUUUGUACACAUCUUUCCACAAAUUUCUCCCUGGGGCUUGAGAAUAUGUAUGAAAAGCUUCAGAGGAAAUUUCCUUUUAUGAGGGAGUUAGAGAGUGGCCAACAGACAAGUUUAUCAUGGAAAGCUAGCUACAAUCUCUGGAACAACUUCCAUACCUCCAUUAUGCUGGCCUCCAAGAACAGGCUUUGUACUUGUGUUGGAGCUACUGUGCUUUCUCUACACAAAAUCUCUAUCCUGGUUUCUCUCUCUAGAUUAAAAAUAUCCUUAACUUAAUUUGCAGAUGCAUUCACAUGCCAAUAUUAUGAUACAAAUUUCAGAGUAAGAGGAUUUUUGUAAUAUGGGAGUAUACUGCUUUAAACGGAAGAAACAACCUGCAAAAUAUGUUACUGUAUAAACAAUCACUCAGUAGUCCAGAGCAAGUUGGCUUCGCCUCUUUUAAAAAAAAAUACAUAGAUGCAUUGAAAAAAAUCUUUCUAAAGUGAUUUCUGACUAUUGAUUAUCUCUGGAAAUAUAAAGAUACUUAAACCAAGCAUGUCCAAUUAUUUUACUCCAACAUCAUAUGGGAAAAUUCCACAAACUACAAAUUAUUAUGCCAAAAUUUACUGCUGGCAUAAUUGUUGGAUUCACUUGAAUUACACCCAUAGAGAAUCUGCUUUGAUAUCUUCAUAGACUGAAAGAGAGACAUUUAUCCCUGAUGUUGCACUGGAGAAGAAUUUAGCCCAAACUAUCCAUAAUCCAUGGUGUGACAUGAUAUAAAAUGAAAUUUCAGGUAUCAUGCUGUCCAUCAGUAGCCUUUAAUUAUGUUGUGUUCUGAAUUAGCAUGGUGUGGCUAUUGGCAAUGAAGCAGCCUAAAAUUUAUGUUGCUCUAGAAUUUUUUUUUUGCUAUUAAAAUUUCAUACAUAAGAUUGAUUGUGUUUAUAGAAAUUGACUUUCUUAGAUUGCAAAUGUUUGCCUGAAGGAAGUCAGAUUUGUUUUCAUCUACACACACAAUAUAAUCAUGAAAAUAUAAUGAAGAGUUAAUGAAUGUGCAACACAUAUUAAAUGGAUCAAAGAACAGUGUGGUGAAAUGAAUUUUUCGGAUAAUGUGAAUUUUUUUUUCUGUUUUCUUUGCUGAUUGCUUGUGAAGGUAGUUAACACUCAACAAAUGAACUGUUGCAUAAUUAAUUUACAAAUGUAAUACCACAUAUACCC